rnacentral:rRNA from 1 species
ACGAACGCUGGCGGCGUGCUUAACACAUGCAAUUCGAACGGAAAGGCCCUGCUUUUGUGGGGUGCUCGAGUGGCGAACGGGUGAGUAACACGUGAGUAACCUGCCCUUGACUUUGGGAUAACUUCAGGAAACUGGGGCUAAUACCGGAUAGGAGCUCCUGCUGCAUGGUGGGGGUUGGAAAGUUUCGGCGGUUGGGGAUGGACUCGCGGCUUAUCAGCUUGUUGGUGGGGUAGUGGCUUACCAAGGCUUUGACGGGUAGCCGGCCUGAGAGGGUGACCGGCCACAUUGGGACUGAGAUACGGCCCAGACUCCUACGGGAGGCAGCAGUGGGGAAUAUUGCACAAUGGGCGGAAGCCUGAUGCAGCAACGCCGCGUGCGGGAUGACGGCCUUCGGGUUGUAAACCGCUUUCGCCUGUGACGAAGCGUGAGUGACGGUAAUGGGUAAAGAAGCACCGGCUAACUACGUG